GACGAACGCUGGCGGCGUGCUUAACACAUGCAAGUCGAACGGAAAGGCCCUGCUAUUGUGGGGUGCCCGAGUGGCGAACGGGUGCGUAACACGUGAGUAACCUGCCCUUGACUUUGGGAUAACUUCAGGAAACUGGGGUUAAUAUCGGAUAGGAGCCCCUCUUGCAUGGAGGGGGUGGGAAAUUUUCGGCGGUCGGGGUUGAAUGCGCGGCUUAUCGGUUAGCUGGUGGGGGAGGUGCUUACCAAGCCUUUGGCGGAUAGCCGGCCUGAGAGGGUGGACGGCCUCAAUAGGACUGAGAUACGGCCCAGACUGCUACAUGAGGCAGCGGGGGGGAAUAUUGCACAACCGGCGGAAGCCUGAUGCAGCAGCGCCCCGUGCGGGAUGACGGCCUGUGGGUUAUGAACCGCUUUCGGCUGUGACGCAGCGUGAGUGACGGUAAUGAAUAAAGAAGCACCGGCUAACUACGUG
rnacentral:rRNA from 1 species